GGCCUUAUCGUCUAGCCUGGUCCAGGACGUCAGAUUCUCGAUCUGAAGACAGGGGUUCAAAUCCCCUUAGGGCUACCA
rnacentral:tRNA from 3 species